AACUUUUAACAACGGAUCUCUUGGCUCUCGCAUCGAUGAAGAACGCAGCGAAAUGCGAUAAGUAAUGUGAAUUGCAGAAUUCAGUGAAUCAUCGAAUCUUUGAACGCACCUUGCACCUUUUGGUAUUCCGAAAGGUAUGCCUGUUUGAGUGUC
rnacentral:rRNA from 1 species